rnacentral:rRNA from 1 species
AGUGAACGCUGGCGGUAGGCCUAACACAUGCCAGUCGAACGGCAGCACAGUAAGAGCUUGCUCUUACGGGUGGCGAGUGGCGGACGGGUGAGGAAUACAUCGGAAUCUACUUUUUCGUGGGGGAUAACGUAGGGAAACUUACGCUAAUACCGCAUACGACCUACGGGUGAAAGCAGGGGAUCUUUGGACCUUGCGCGAUUGAAUGAGCCGAUGUCGGAUUAGCUAGUUGGCGGGGCAAAGGCCCACCAAGGCGACGAUCCGUAGCUGGUCUGAGAGGAUGAUCAGCCACACUGGAACUGAGACACGGUCCAGACUCCUACGGGAGGCAGCAGUGGGGAAUAUUGGACAAUGGGCGCAAGCCUGAUCCAGCCAUACCGCGUGGGUGAAGAAGGCCUUCGGGUUGUAAAGCCCUUUUGUUGGGAAAGAAAAGCAGCAGGUUAAUACCCCGCUGUUCUGACGGUACCCAAAGAAUAAGCACCGGCUAACUUCGUG